UUUGCACCGUGCACACACCUUUCGUAAGCCCAAAUGUUCGGUCAAAAUGCGAUAAAUCGAUGUUUUGGAGAUGUUCUAUUCAAUUUCAAUGAUGAUUUCUUUUGAUUCGGUUGAUUAAGAUAUGACUGCAACGACAUCUACUGACAAAAUACGAAAAGACUUUUUCGACUACCCAAUAUAAUAACCGAAUUUCUUAUAAAAAACUGCAAAUAGAUCAAGUCUCAUUGUUUUUGGAGUAGUCUUCUCCUUGCCGAUUUAAUUGAUGUACACACUUCCUUCAGACAUGUAAUAAUAUACAUAAAAUGCAAACAGCUAUGUAUACAACACAAAUUGCUUAUACUGCACAACAACAAAAAAACAAUAGGUGCACAUACAACUAAGUAUACUACAAAGCGGAAUGCAAAAAAGUGCAACAACACGCUUUAAUUUCGUAUCAAAUUAGAUUUGCACACAAAGCCUAAUGCCGCUUGCUCUGCAGUCCAGCAAAAGACCAAGCGCAGCAACGAUUUUCUUAACGUCGAACGGCUGGCAUAAACCAGUUUUUCCGAUUCGCAAGGUUCACUGAACGUUGUUGGUUGAGCGGUUGCAUGGUUGCAUGGAUGGAUGGAUGAUGAUGAUGAUGUUUGUUGUGUUACACAACUGAAAGUGUUCGUCGGACCAACGUCCGCAUCGAGUAACAACAUGUACGGAGUGGUAACAGGCGCACAACGAUUGCAGUAGGCCGAUUUUACACCGUCCACUCGAUUUGCUUUAUGUUGUUAUUUUUGCAAUGCACUUGAGCGACGUCUGCCUCCGCCCAAUGCGGCCAACAUACAUACAUAUUUGUAUGCCAGCGUAUGCUUAGCAUUGUAGUCCAAGCGCAAAUGCAGCUCGGCGAAAAAAUCUACAGAAACAACAAUGCCGGCAAGUGGAGCUAUUAUUAUAUAUUUGCCAUAUUGCUUCUAAUAUAAGUAUACUAUACAGAAGUAUAAACAUAUGUCUAAAAUUGUUUUCUCUGUAUAUUUGUAAAUUGUUGUAUAAAAAUACGUCCAUGGGUGGAAUUGAGUUUUCGCGCACGGUGUGACAUUAAAAAAAUUAAUAAAAUUAUUAAUAAAAAAAAUAUUGAAAAAAUAUCAUCUAUAAAAUUAUGUCAACACUUGGCUGCUAAGCAACUAAAAAUGUUUAAUUGAAUUUCAAAAUUUAAAGCUAGCGUAUAACAUAUAAAAAACUUAAAGUUAUGUAUUUACUUUAGUUAUAGCAACAAAUUUGCAAAAAUAUUUUUCUUUAUUUAAUGGAAUUGAAUUUUAAUUGGCAAACAGCAAACAUAUAUACCAGGUAUUUAUUUAGGCUUAUAUUAUAUUAUGAAAUAGGCAAUACUUAUAAAAUGAGUACAAGUAAUAAAUUAUUCCCUAUUCCUUAUUUUAAUUUUUAUUCUCUCUAAAAAUACACACUUAAAUUGAUUUUUGCUUAUUUCCUGUUUUUUUUUAAUUUUUUACAUUACUUGAACACUGUGCGUUUGGAACAAGUGCAUUUGCCCAUAUUCCUCUUUCGUCGCGCAGCCCGUUAGUAUAGCGCUGUUAACAAAUUUCACUUUACAUCUGCCUAUCUUGCGUUAUUGUUGUUGCUACUCUUCACACACAGAGCCUGUUGCACACCGAAAGUCAAGCAACCCCCAGGCCGACCGUUCAAAAGCAUAGCAAUGGGAUGUGACUUUGUGGGUUCGUCGGUCGACAUUGGCGGCAAUGCAUUGCCAGUCGCAUUUUUACGGUUGAAGCGGUAAGAACUCUUGUGCAAGCAGUUUGGAGAGAAAAUAAAUACUGAGCAUGUUAUGGAAACGUUUGGUCUUGAUUGGGCACUCGCAGUGGAGGCUAGCGGAUCCAUGUUCAAAUUUGCUGAGCUACAAAGGAGCAUAAUAUGUAUAAAUCUUACUUUGUUAUCAAAAAUGUGAACGUUCUGAGGAAUUGCUUUUGGGAAGAAGUCAAUGCAGGGUCCAGCUUUGCCGUCGGCAUAAUAUGGUUUUCAUGCUAUGUGUCCUGAUUCGUUAUACAAGUAACGAAGAGCACCAGAACACUGCAGUGGAAAAUGAGACAGUGAAAUAUGCAUUCGGUUUCAAAAAGUUCGGGCUAAACGCUAUUACGAAUGGAAUAUUAUUUUAUUAUACAAAUAUGUGUUUUUAGUGAUUUUGAAAUUUUUGUGCCAUACUAGAGUCAAAGAGUAUGAUUGUGAUAAAUAAAAUCAUUUUGGAAGUUUAUAGCAAAGUUGUGAGCUUACAGCAAAAUGCAAAGACUCUGUAUUGGAAUCAAAUUUAUAACUUAUUUGAAAAUAAUUAAGUUGAUAUAUAAUAAAAUCCCGCUCAACGUUUUUUUGCAAAGAUAAGAAAA